rnacentral:rRNA from 1 species
UACGUAGGUGGCAAGCGUUGUCCGGAUUUUACUGGGCGUAAAGAGCGCGCAGGCGGUCGUUCAAGUCGAGUGUGAAAGCCCCCGGCUCCAACUGGGGAGGGUCACUCGAUACUGAUCGACUCGAAGGCAGAAGAGGGAAGCGGAAUUCCGAGGUGUAGUCGGUGAAAUGCGUAGAUAUCUGGAGGAACACCGGUGGCGAAGGCGGCAUCCU